rnacentral:rRNA from 1 species
UGGGGAAUAUUGCACAAUGGGCGCAAGCCUGAUGCAGCCAUGCCGCGUGUGUGAAGAAGGCCUUCGGGUUGUAAAGCACUUUCAGCGAGGAGGAAGGUGGUGAACUUAAUACGUUCAUCAAUUGACGUUACUCGCAGAAGAAGCACCGGCUAACUCCGUGCCAGCAGCCGCGGUAAUACGGAGGGUGCAAGCGUUAAUCGGAAUUACUGGGCGUAAAGCGCACGCAGGCGGUUUGUUAAGUCAGAUGUGAAAUCCCCGGGCUCAACCUGGGAACUGCAUUUGAAACUGGCAAGCUAGAGUCUCGUAGAGGGGGGUAGAAUUCCAGGUGUAGCGGUGAAAUGCGUAGAGAUCUGGAGGAAUACCGGUGGCGAAGGCGGCCCCCUGGACGAAGACUGACGCUCAGGUGCGAAAAGCGUGGGGCAGCAAACAGGAUUAGAUACCCUGGUAGUCCACGCUGUAAACGAUGUCGAUUUUGGAGGUUGUGCCCUUGAGGCGUGGCUUCCGGAGCUAACGCGUUAAAUCGACCGCCUGGGGAGUACGGCC